UACGGAGGGUGCAAGCGUUAUCCGGAUUCACUGGGUUUAAAGGGUGCGUAGGUGGGUUGGUAAGUCAGUGGUGAAAUCUCCGAGCUUAACUUGGAAACUGCCAUUGAUACUAUCAGUCUUGAAUAUUGUGGAGGUCAGCGGAAUAUGUCAUGUAGCGGUGAAAUGCUUAGAUAUGACAUAGAACACCAAUUGCGAAGGCAGCUGGCUACGCAUAUAUUGACACUGAGGCACGAAAGCGUGGGGAGCAAACAGG
rnacentral:rRNA from 1 species